CAGAUGGUCAGCGUCGUCUGAUCACAGAAGCUGAAGGCCAUGAUUCAGCCAACAAGCCCAGAUCCGUGUUCUGCCGGCACAACGGGAGGGCAUCAGAUAGCCACAAUCUAAUUCUCUCCCCUGGUGGCGUCUGGAAAUCUUGUCUUUCAGCGAAACAACCAAUCAGAGACCAUUGGCAGCUGACGCCUGGCAGGGUGGAUUCGCCCUCCGUGCACGAAGAUACCCCCGAGUUUGGGCAAAUGUCGCUCGCAUUCUGUCGGGGAUGGAGGUCAAUUGUGUCACUCUGAAGGUUUCUCUAGGCUACCCCUCGGUACUUUGCUAGGCUUACGCACGCUCACAGAGAGAGAGAAAGAGGGAGAGAGAGGGGAGAAGGAGGGGAAGGAAAAAGGAAAGCUAUCUUCUAGCUGAGAAUCAAGCAAUGAAAACGUGAUUACAGCUGCUUGUUAUAACAGUUUGUAACAAUGCUGGUAGCGAAGCAGUAUCGCUGUACACACUCAGCAACAUGUGUAUGCACAAAAGGUCAUUUAAGUGAGGAUGCAAUAUUCUUAGUAUUCCGACACCUUAAUUGGAACCCUAGGUUGAUUGCAAAAAUGUCUUGUGUCUGCAAAUGGUUUGAUGAAAUUGCAAAGAGAGUGUUGUGGAAAGAGUUCUGCCGAACCCGAGCCCCUAAGAUGAUGCUAGACUUGCAGUCUAGUGGCAGUCAUAAUGUUGAUGGGAACUGGAAAGCACUUGGGAAGCUUCUCAUUUAUUGUUCAGGGUGCAGCAAAGGUGGUCUGUCUAACAGCAUUGAUAUCCCGGGUCAUUUUGUCUACCGCACACGAUUCUCCAGGACAUCAGGGAAAAGUUUUCUUCUUCCACAAUGCAGGUCAGAUGUGCUGUAUGUAUCAGACCCUUGUGAGCAUCUUGAUCAAGGAGAGGAGGGUGAUGUUGGGUUUUUUCGUGGUGUCUUCAAAUCAUUUUCCAUUUCAAGAGUUAGGAAGAUGCUAAUUGACAAGGAUGCCAAGCUCCAUGCCACUGAGGUUUGUCCAUAUUGUAAGGCAAAGUUGUGGAGCAUGCUACAGGCAAAGAUGAUACCCCAAAGUGCAUGUCACAGGUUGGGUGCUUAUGAUGAUGGCAUAGAGUAUUAUGUGUGUCUUAAUGGGCAUAUGCUUGGGAUCUGCACUCUCUUACCCCUAUCUGAUUCUGAGGAGGCAUCUGAACUGGAGUGAUUUCUUGUUGUUUCAUUUAGGUUGCGAUGAUCUAGGACUCUCAUAUAACCUUCUCUACAUGUUUUAAUACUACCAGGAUGGAAGGACCCAUCAUUUUCUUUUCUGAACAGAGAGAUGGAUUCGAGCAGGAAGAGAUACACUCCAGUGUUCAAGCUUGGAGACUUACGCUUGCUUGUGGUGGUUUAUUUGGUGGCAGCUCUUCAAGACUUAUAAAGAGGUGAGGGGCAAGCAGUUUGGGAUGUGCUUUCCCAUUCUAGUCCUGUUUGCACACAGGUAAGGAUCUCCCUUUAUUCACCUUUGUGUCCCAGCUCUAGGUUUGUUUCUGUAUGCUGUUGGCUUUUGAGCUUGGCUAAAAGAUUGUAAUUGUGGAAAUGAAUGUGCUAUUUCUUUUCUUUAGGCCUUCUCAUGCUACUUUAAGAAGGUCAUACUAGGAGGUUUGCCUGCUUAAAAGAAAUGUGCCCCUUUUACUUUGCAGCUCUUAGUGCUGUGCAUA